rnacentral:misc_RNA from 1 species
UCCCGGUUAACCCGGGCAGUCUCAUUAGAGUUCCCACCAUUACGUGCUGGCAACUAAUGAUAAGGGUUGCGCUCGUUGCGGGACUUAACCCAACACCUCACGGCACGAGCUGACGACAGCCAUGCAGCACCUGUGCACAGACCCCGAAGGGAAUAACUAUUUCUAGUUACGUCCUGUGCAUGUCAAGCCUGGGUAAGGUUCUUCGCGUUGCAUCGAAUUAAACCACAUGCUCCACUGCUUGUGCGGGUCCCCGUCAAUUCUUUUGAGUUUCACCCUUGCGAGCGUACUCCCCAGGCGGUAUACUUAUCGCGUUAGCUUCGACACAAUCGGGGUUGAGUCCGAUUACAUCAAGUAUACAUCGUUUACGGCAAGGACUAC